rnacentral:rRNA from 1 species
AUGAAUCUGAUACUUGUUUUCUGCUUGUACGUACGCAGGCCAACGUUCUGGCGAAUCUACAAGGCCAAGGACGUGGAGGAGUUCAAGCCGGACCCCUACCUGGCGACGCUCAUGAACUGCCUGCUCUGGUUCUUUUACGGGCUCCCCAUCGUCCACCCCAACAGCACCCUCGUCCUCACCAUCAACGGCAUCGGCCUUGUUAUCGAGGGCGCCUACAUCAUCAUCUUCAUCAUCUACGCGGCCAACAACACAAGGGUACAUACGUGCAACCCUCCUAAUGCCCCCUCAUCCGGCCUACUGUAUCUUUUCGGCGUUAGUUUCUGUACAGAAGAUCCUUUUGCAUGCCCUAACCCAUGCCAUGUGCCUGUGCUGCGCGUGCAGUGGAAGAUGCUCGGCGUGCUCGCCAUCGAGGCGGCGUUCAUGGCUGCCGUGGUGGCCGGUGUGCUCGUCGGCGCCCACACCCAUGAGAAGCGCUCCAUGAUCGUAGGCAUCCUCUGUGUCAUCUUCGGCUCCAUCAUGUACGCCUCCCCGCUCACCAUCAUGGGUAAAGUGAUCAGGACCAAGAGUGUGGAGUACAUGCCGUUCUUCCUGUCGCUGGUGAACUUCCUCAAUGGCCUCUGCUGGACGGGCUAUGCACUCAUUAAGUUUGACAUCUACAUCACGAUCCCCAAUGCCCUCGGUACAAUCUUCGGCCUCAUCCAGCUGAUACUGUACUUUUACUACUACAAAUCGACCCCCAGGAAGGGCAAGAACGUUGAACUGCCCACUGUCCUCACCAAAAACGCCGUUACCAGCGGCAACGUCUCGGUCACCGUCGAGAAAUAA